UGACAAUUGAUUCUGGAGAGACUAGUGC
rnacentral:piRNA from 1 species